GCCAGGUGUGGUGGCGCGUGCCUGUAGUCCCAGCUACUCAGGAGGCUGAGGCAGGAGGAUCGCUUGAGGCCAGGAGUUCUGGGCUGCAGUGCACUAUGUUGCCUGGGCGUCUGCGCUAAGUUCAGCAUCAAUAUGAUGACCUCCCGGGAGCAGGGAACCACCAGAUUGCCUAAGAAGGGGUAAACUGGCCAAGGUUGGAAACAGAGCAGGUCAAAACUCCCAUGCUGAUCAGUAGUGGGAUGGUGCCUGUGAAUAGCCACUGUACUCCAGCCUGGGCAACACAGCAAGACCCCAUCCCUA
rnacentral:SRP_RNA from 1 species